rnacentral:tRNA from 1 species
GGCGGUAUAGCUCAGUGGUAAAGUGCAUGCCUAGUAAGCAUAAGGCCCUGGGUUCGAACUCCAGCACUCCCC